rnacentral:rRNA from 1 species
UACGUAGGGACCAAGCGUUGUUCGGAUUUACUGGGCGUAAAGGGCGCGUAGGCGGCCAUUCAAGUCAGCUGUGAAAUCUCCGGGCUUAACUCGGAACGGUCAGCUGAUACUGCUUCGCUAGAGUGCAGAAGGGGCAAUCGGAAUUCUUGGUGUAGCGGUGAAAUGCGUAGAUAUCAAGAGGAACACCUGAGGUGAAGACGGGUUGCUGGGCUGACACUGACGCUGAGUGCGCGAAAGCUAGGGUAGCAAACGGG